GGGGAAUAUUGCACAAUGGGCGAAAGCCUGAUGCAGCAACGCCGCGCGAGUGAUGAAGGUCUUCGGAUUGUAAAGCUCUGUCUUUUGGGACGAUAAUGACGGUACCAAAGGAGGAAGCCACGGCUAACUACGUGCCAGCAGCCGCGGUAAUACGUAGGUGGCGAGCGUUGUCCGGAUUUACUGGGCGUAAAGGGUGCGUAGGCGGAUGUUUAAGUGAGAUGUGAAAUACCCGGGCUUAACUUGGGUGCUGCAUUUCAAACUGGAUAUCUAGAGUGCAGGAGAGGAGAAUGGAAUUCCUAGUGUAGCGGUGAAAUGCGUAGAGAUUAGGAAGAACACCAGUGGCGAAGGCGAUUCUCUGGACUGUAACUGACGCUGAGGCACGAAAGCGUGGGUAGCAAACAGGAUUAGAUACCCUGGUAGUCCACGCCGUAAACGAUGAGUACUAGGUGUAGGAGGUAUCGACCCCUUCUGUGCCGCAGUAAACACAUUAAGUACUCCGCCUGGGG
rnacentral:rRNA from 1 species